AUUGAAUGCUGGCGGCAUGCCUUACACAUGCAAGUCGAACGGUAACAGGUCUUCGGAUGCUGACGAGUGGCGAACGGGUGAGUAAUACAUCGGAACGUGCCUAGUAGUGGGGGAUAACUACUCGAAAGAGUGGCUAAUACCGCAUGAGAUCUACGGAUGAAAGCAGGGGAUCGCAAGACCUUGUGCUACUAGAGCGGCCGAUGGCAGAUUAGGUAGUUGGUGGGAUAAAAGCUUACCAAGCCGACGAUCUGUAGCUGGUCUGAGAGGACGAUCAGCCACACUGGGACUGAGACACGGCCCAGACUCCUACGGGAGGCAGCAGUGGGGAAUUUUGGACAAUGGGCGCAAGCCUGAUCCAGCAAUGCCGCGUGCAGGAUGAAGGCCUUCGGGUUGUAAACUGCUUUUGUACGGAACGAAAAGCCCCGGGUUAAUACCCUGGGGUCAUGACGGUACCGUAAGAAUAAGCACCGGCUAACUACGUGCCAGCCGCCGCCGCAG
rnacentral:rRNA from 1 species